rnacentral:piRNA from 1 species
UCAGUGCACUACUCUGAGGCGUUCU